rnacentral:rRNA from 1 species
UACGUAGGUGGCAAGCGUUACUCGGAAUUACUAGGCGUAAAGCGCAGGUAGGUGGUUUGAUAAGUCCGUAAUGAAAUCUCCCGGCUUAACUGGGAGGGGUUUAGGGAUACUGUCAGGCUUGAGUGUGGGAGAGGUAACUGGAAUUCCUGGUGUAGCGGUGAAAUGCGCAGAUAUCAGGAAGAACACCAAUGGCGAAGGCAGCUCUCUGGGACGGUACUGACGCUGAGACGCGAAAGCGUGGGGAGCGAACAGG